AACGAACGCUGGCGGCAGGCCUAAUACAUGCAAGUCGAACGGGCGUAGCAAUACGUCAGUGGCGGACGGGUGAGUAACACGUGGGAACAUGCCUUUCGGUUCGGAAUAACGCAGGGAAACUUGCGCUAAUACCGGAUGACCCGGCGACGGAAAAGAUUUAUCGCCGAAAGAUUGGCCCGCGUAGGAUUAGCUAGUUGGUGAGGUAACGGCCCACCAAGGCGACGAUCCUUAGCUGGUUUGAGAGAACGAUCAGCCACACUGGGACUGAGACACGGCCCAGACUCCUACGGGAGGCAGCAGUAGGGAAUCUUGGACAAUGGGGAACCCGUCAUCCAGCCAUGCCGCGUGAGUGAUG
rnacentral:rRNA from 1 species